rnacentral:misc_RNA from 1 species
UAGGGGACCAGUCUAGUGCCGAAAGUCGAAGCGAUUAGACACCUUUCAAUAUCAGUCCGUAACAGGUGUCGAUUUGUGUAGUAAAUAUUUUAUAAUCAUUCUUCCACCACUGAAACGCACGCUACGGUAAACUUCGUUUAACGAAGAUCGUUGUUUGAUUACGAGGGAAACUUCGAAGUAUCAGAGGGAUGUUGCGAAAUUCGAAAGGACGAGAUGAAAGCCAAAACGACGCCAUCAUAGUGAACAAUGAUAAAUCUGACAACUAUUCGUCGAGACGUUGUAAUAUUUCAUUUAUUCUAAGGAAGGCGAACAUUAUCUUUUUCACAAUCUCCAUCUCCUCCUGUUCUCUGGAUAGGAUCUUAUGGUGCUUUAAAAGCCAAGAAUAUAUUUUACAACCAAUACUUCUACCAUAAGUUUUGAUGAUUCUUCCGAGAUGACGGUCUUCAUGAUGGUUUCUUCUGAGCUACGUCGACAUUGUUCACAUCGUUCUUCAUAUGUAACUGUGAGUCGCAUGCUUCUUUGUUCCUCCAGUCACUCACUCAUGUCGUAGGGUGAAAGAUCCGAAUCGACACGGGAGACUGGUUGUAUUACGUAGAAUUUUUUACAAGCAUAGUGACCGCGGG